UUUAAAAUGGCAGACUUAUGCAAUGAAUUUAAGCUUCAUAUAUAAAGAUUUUUCUUUUUUUAAAA
rnacentral:tRNA from 1 species